rnacentral:rRNA from 1 species
UACGGGGGGAGCAAGCGUUGUUCGGAUUUACUGGGCGUAAAGGGCGCGUAGGCGGUAGCACAAGUCAGUUGUGAAAUCCCCGGGCUCAACCUGGGAACUGCAUCCGAGACUGCAUUGCUAGAGUAUGGGAGAGGAAAGCGGAAUUUCUGGUGUAGCAGUGAAAUGCGUAGAUAUCAGAAGGAACAUCAGUGGCGAAGGCGGCUUUCUGGACCAAUACUGACGAUCAGGUGCGAAAGCGUGGGGAGCAAACAGG